AGAUACUAUUAGACUGAGACCGGGAGAGGUUAGAGGUACUCCCAGGGUAGAGGUGAAAUUCUGUAAUCCUGGGAGGACCGCCUGUUGCGAAGGCGUCUAACUGGAACGGUUCUGACGGUGAGGGACGAAAGUUAGGGGCGCGAACCGGAUUAGAUACCCGGGUAGUCCUAACUGUAAACGAUGCGGACUUGGUGUUGGGUGGCUUUGAGCUGCUUCAGUGCCGAAGGGAAGCUGUUAAGUCCGCCGCCUGGGAAGUACGGUCGCAAGACUGAAACUUAAGGAAUUGGCGGGGGAGCACCACAACGCGUGGAGCCUUGCGGUUUAAUUGGAUUCAACGCCGGACAUCUCACCAGAGGCGACAGCUGUAUGAUAGCCAGGUUGAUGACUUUGCUUGACUAGCUGAGGGGAGGUGCAUGG
rnacentral:rRNA from 1 species